rnacentral:rRNA from 1 species
AGUGAACGCUGGCGGUAGGCUUAACACAUGCAAGUCGAACGGCAGCACAGUACGUGCUUGCUCUUAUGGGUGGCGAGUGGCGGAUGGGUGGGGAAUACCUCGGACUCUACUCUUUCGUGGGGGUUAACGACGGGAAAUAUUAGCUAAUACCGCAUUCGACCUCCGGGUGAAAGCUGGGGAUCUUUGGACCUUGUGCGAUUGAUUGCGCCGUUGUCGGUUUUGCUAGUUGGGGGGGUAAAGGCCCACCAAGGCGACGAUCCGUAGCUGGUCGGAGAGAAGGAUCAGCCACACGGGAGCUGAGACACGGUCCAGACGCCUGCGAGAGGGAGCAGUGUGGAACAGGGGACAGUGGUCGCAAGCCUGAUCCAACCAGACCGCGUGUGAGAAGGAGGCCUUCGGGUUGGAAAGCCCGUUUGUGGGUAAAGAAAAGCAUCAGGUUAAUACCCCGCUGUACUGACGGUACCCAAAGAAUAAGCACCGGCUAACUACGUG